rnacentral:rRNA from 1 species
ACACAUGCAAGUCGAGCGGUAGAGAGAAGCUUGCUUCUCUUGAGAGCGGCGGACGGGUGAGUAAUGCCUAGGAAUCUGCCUGGUAGUGGGGGAUAACGCUCGGAAACGGACGCUAAUACCGCAUACGUCCUACGGGAGAAAGCAGGGGACCUUCGGGCCUUGCGCUAUCAGAUGAGCCUAGGUCGGAUUAGCUAGUUGGUGAGGUAAUGGCUCACCAAGGCGACGAUCCGUAACUGGUCUGAGAGGAUGAUCAGUCACACUGGAACUGAGACACGGUCCAGACUCCUACGGGAGGCAGCAGUGGGGAAUAUUGGACAAUGGGCGAAAGCCUGAUCCAGCCAUGCCGCGUGUGUGAAGAAGGUCUUCGGAUUGUAAAGCACUUUAAGUUGGGAGGAAGGGCAUUAACCUAAUACGUUAGUGUUUUGACGUUACCGACAGAAUAAGCACCGGCUAACUCUGUGCCAGCAGCCGCGGUAAUACAGAGGGUGCAAGCGUUAAUCGGAAUUACUGGGCGUAAAGCGCGCGUAGGUGGUUUGUUAAGUUGGAUGUGAAAUCCCCGGGCUCAACCUGGGAACUGCAUUCAAAACUGACAAGCUAGAGUAUGGUAGAGGGUGGUGGAAUUUCCUGUGUAGCGGUGAAAUGCGUAGAUAUAGGAAGGAACACCAGUGGCGAAGGCGACCACCUGGACUGAUACUGACACUGAGGUGCGAAAGCGUGGGGAGCAAACAGGAUUAGAUACCCUGGUAGUCCACGCCGU